rnacentral:lncRNA from 1 species
GCCGAAUCAUUAGCCUGCUUUUUCUUUGUGAUGGCUUUUCUUAAAUCACUAUCUAUAGAGUUAAAAUGUUUCCUGGUUCACAACAUCUGUCUUUCCCCACUAGAAUGUAAGCUCUUCGAGGACAGGAUUGACUCUUGCAGAUGUUUACACACCCUGACUUCCUGAAACUGGAAGGAUUAUUCCACGUACGCUUAGUGAAUGAGUACUGUCCAGCUAGUGUUCAUGGAUUGUCUCUUUAGCCAUUGGUGGAAAGGAAGCCCCUUAGUCCAAGGGGAGGCGGAGCCUUUGAAGCUCUACAGCAAGAUCUGACUUUGAAUGCCAUGCUGUUGUUGUAUGGUCGUGAAAAUAAGCUUUUUGUUUUUCUCUGUGUAGCCCUGGCUGACCUGUAACUCACUCUGUAGACCAGGCUGGCCUUGAACUCAGAAAUCCACCUGCCUCUGCCUCCCAAGUGCUGGUAUUAAAGGCAUGCACCAUCACUGCCCGGCUUUUUAAAAUUUUUUUAAUGUUUGAGACAGGGUUUCUCUUUGUAGCCUUGGUUAUCCUGGAACUCCCUCCAUAGACCAGGCUGGCAUCAAACUGAGAUUACUUGCUUCUGCUUCCUAAAUGCAGGGAUUAAAAGCUCACACCACCACCACUUGGCAUAAAUUAAUUAUCCUAAUCCUUGAUUUAUACUUCUUUAAGAUAUACAAAUAACUGAUGCAUUCCAGGUUCACUGAAGGAAGGAAAUAAAGGAAAAUGUAAAACUGCUGCCAAGAAAUUUAACUCUCAGCAUAUUUCUAGGUGAUAUUAGGGAAAAAAAAAAUCAAAAUUGAAGAACUGAUGUUUUGUCUAGCCUGAUAUUUUAUAGCUCCCUGAUUGAAUCAGUAAUAUAGUAAAUACAAUGGCAAGUAUUAGCAUGCUCUGAACAAUCUUCCGUAUUCCCUCCUCAAAGUAAUCCUGGUGAGGAAACACUGAGGGCCAUAGUGACACCUACUGCUACCACCCAUGUCAUUCACACUGGCCCAGAGAGAACCCUAAACUCCGCAUCCCUUUCUCUCUCCCUCUCUCUCUUUUUUUUUGACAGUUUUAUGUAGCCCAGACGGAGGAAUUCUUUUCAUUCAUUUUUAGAUUAAUUGUAUGUAUCUUAAGUGUUUUGCCUGCAUGUACAUAUAUAUACUAUAUGCAUGCCUGGUUUCCACUGCAGUUUGAAAAAGGGCCUAGGAUCUCCUAUAUUUAAGGAUGGUUGUGAGCUACCAUGUGGGUCCUGGGAAUUGAACUCAGGUCCUCUGCAAAAGCUGCAAGUGCUCUUACCGAGCCAGCUCUGCAGCCGCAUUUGCUUUUGUUUGUUUGUGACAAUCUCAUGAUGUAGACUAGGCAGUGCUGAGAUUAAAGCCUUGUACCAUAAAUUUUUUCCUUUCCUUACUAACCACUGGGUCUCUGGCUAGAUACAACUCUGUAGGUGUCACCAAUGUUGGAAACUAGAUCAAAGGUACAAGAGAUCUUUCCAUUUUUAGUGCUGGUCUUGAAUCCUGGGACUUGGUGGAUGUCUUGCGUCAAGCCCAGCAGCAAAACAUGACCUUAGCAUGUUCGAAGGCCUGAAUCUGACCCCCAGCCCAGCAAACAAAACACAAACACAUGCCUUGCUUGUGGCCCUGUCCUGGAAAAUUUUCUGUCAACUUGAUACAAACCAGCUACCUGAAAGGAGGGAACCUCAAUUGAGAAAAUCCCUUCAUAAGAUCCAGAUGUAUGGCACUUUCUUAAAUUAGUUGUAAUUUUAAUGGGGGAGUGCUCAGCCCAUUGUGGGUGGUGUCACCCCUGGGCUGGUGGUCCUGGGUUCUAUAAGAAAGCAGGCUGAGCAGGCCAGUAGGUGGUACCCAUAGCCCUUGCAUUAGCUCUUGCCUUCAGGUUCCAGCCCUGCUUGAGUCCCUAUCCUGACGUCCUUUACCGCUGAACAGUGCUGUGGAACUGUAAGCUCAAUAACCCCUUUCCUCUCCAACUUGCUUUUGUUCAUGGUGUUUUGCAACAGCAAUAGGAACUCUAAGAUAGGCCCCACAGUUAUCUAAAGGGCAUGUUUUGAGAUGAUUUUGCUAUUGCAGCCUUAAAUUGGCUUUACCCUGUAUUUCUCUUGCCUCCUGGAUGUUAGAAUUGCAAGUGAACCACAUUGGGCAUAAUAAAAAUUCCAAUGAAGGAGACAAAAAUGGGCUGGUGAGAAGCCAAAUCCAUGUCUGAUCCCCGGGCCCACAUGGAAGAAGCAGAGAACUGAUCUGACUUCCCACGGACAAAAAGUUCAAUACUAGCUUUUUUCUUUUUCUUUUGGACUGGGGAGAGGGAGCUCCGUGUGUAAAGGCACUUGCCACACAUCGUGACUUAAGUCUGACCCCUGGAACCCAUGUGAAAAGCUGGAUGCAGGAACAUACAUCUGUAAUGCCAGGACUCUACAGUGACAAGCAGAGACAGGAGAACCCCUGGAAGCUCAUGGGCUGAGCUUGCCUAGAGCACACAAUGUAGCAAAAACAACAAAAGGAUGGACGUCCAGCCCAGCCCAGGUGCAGCGAGUGAGAUGGCUCAGCAGGUAGAGAGGGGCUUGCUGUGCAAGCCUGGGGACCUGAGGCUGAUCUCUGCAACUCACAGAAAGGUAGAAGGAGAGAACGGACUCACAUGGCUGUCCUUCGACUUUCAAACACAUACUGUGUCAUACGUGCUGUGGCACAGACUUGUGCACACAAUUAUACAAUUUUAAUUACACAACAUAACUUUAAAAAGUGGCCAUC